GCCUGGUUGGCUCAGUCGGUUGAGCAUCUGACUUUGGCUCAGGUUGUGAUCUCACAUUUGUGGGUUCGAGCCCUGCGUCAGACU
rnacentral:tRNA from 1 species